rfam:Schistosoma mansoni strain Puerto Rico chromosome 2, complete genome
GUCCAGCUGACGAGUCCCAAAUAGGACAAAACGCGUGCCCUGGAU